rnacentral:rRNA from 1 species
AUUGAACGCUGGCGGCAUGCUUUACACAUGCAAGUCGAACGGCAGCACGGGGGCAACCCUGGUGGCGAGUGGCGAACGGGUGAGUAAUGCAUCGGAACGUACCCAGUCGUGGGGGACAACGUAGCGAAAGUUACGCUAAUACCGCAUACGACCUGAGGGUGAAAGCAGGGGAUCGCAAGACCUUGCGCGAUUGGAGCGGCCGAUGUCAGAUUAGCUAGUUGGUGGGGUAAAGGCUCACCAAGGCGACGAUCUGUAGCGGGUAUGAGAGGAUGAUCCGCCACACUGGGACUGAGACACGGCCCAGACCCCUCCGGGGGGCAGCAGUGGGGAAUUUUGGACAAUUGGGGCAACCCUGAUCCAGCCAUGCCGCGUGCGGGAAGAAGGCCUUCGGGUUGUAAACCGCUUUCGGCCAGAAAGAAAUCGCAUGGGCUAAUACCCUGUGUGGAUGACGGUACUGUAAGAAGAAGCACCGGCUAACUACGUGCCAGCAGCCGCCGUAACAC